rnacentral:rRNA from 1 species
UGGGGAAGUAUUUGCACAAUGGGGGAAACCCUGAUGCAGCGACGCCGCGUGAGUGAAGAAGUAAUUCGUUAUGUAAAGCUCUAUCAGCAGGGAAGAAAAUGACGGUACCUGAGUAAGAAGCCCCGGCUAACUACGUGCC